GCCGGGCGUGGUGGUGCACGCCUGUAGUCCCAGCUACUCAGGAGGCUGAGGCAGGAGAAUCGCUUGAAUCCAGGAGGUGGAGGUUGCAGUGAGCUGAGAUCACGCCACUGCACUCCAGCCUGGGCGACAGAGUGAGACUCCGUCUCAA
ensembl:misc_RNA Metazoa_SRP Metazoan signal recognition particle RNA